UGGCAGUGCAGUGCUAGUUGGCUGU
rnacentral:miRNA from 1 species